CGCCGCGUGGAGGAUGAAGUCCCUUGGGAUGUAAACUCCUUUCGAUCGGGACGAUAAUGACGGUACCGGAAGAAGAAGCACCGGCUAACUCUGUCGC
rnacentral:rRNA from 1 species